UAGAUCAGAAGCGAGAAUGUUGACAUGAGUAGCGACAAACAGGGUGAGAGACCCUGUCGCCGUAAGUCCAAGGGUUCCUGCUUAAAGCUAAUCUGAGCAGGGUAAGCCGGCCCCUAAGGCGAGGCCGAAAGGCGUAGUCGAUGGGAACACGGUUAAUAUUCCGUGGCCAGGAGGAAGUGACGGAUCUCAAAGAUUGUCUGCCCUUAUCGGAUUGGGUGGGCCGUUCAGAGGUCCCUGGAAAUAGCCCUCCAUCAGACCGUACCCUAAACCGUCACAGGUGGACUGGUAGAGUAUACCAAGGCGCUUGAGAGAACCACGUUAAAGGAACUCGGCAAAAUGCCUCCGUAAGUUCGCGAGAAGGAGGCCCCGUCUGUAGGCAACUAUAGGCGGGGGGCACAAACUAGGGGGGUGGCGACUGUUUACUUAAAACACAGGGCUCUGCGAAGCCGUAAGGCGACGUAUAGGGUCUGACGCCUGCCCGGUGCUGGAAGGUUAAAAGGAGGGGUGCAAGCUCUGAAUUGAAGCCCCAGUAAACGGCGGCCGUAACGAUAACGGUCCUAAGGUAGCGAAAUUCCUUGUCGGGUAAGUUCUGACCUGCACGAAUGGCGUAACGAUCUCCCCGCUGUCUCUAACGUGGACUCAGCGAAAUUGAACUGUGUGUCAAGAUGCACACUACCCGCGGUUAGACGGAAAGACCCCAUGAACCUUUACUCCAGCUUUGCACUGGCAUCAGGAUUGCGAUGUGCAGGAUAGGUGGUAGCCUUUGAAGCGGGGACGCUAGUUCCCGUGGAGGCUCCCUUGAGAUACCACCCUUCGCACUCUUGAUGUCUAACCGCGGCCCGUUAUCCGGGUCCGGGACCCUGCAUGGUGGGGAGUUUGACUGGGGCGGUCGCCUCCCAAACAGUAACGGAGGCGCGCGAAGGUAGGCUCAGACCGGUCGGAAAUCGGUCGUUGAGUGCAAUGGCAGAAGCCUGCCUGACUGCAAGACUGACAAGUCGAGCAGAGACGAAAGUCGGUCAUAGUGAUCCGGUGGUCCCAAGUGGGAGGGCCAUCGCUCAACGGAUAAAAGGUACUCUGGGGAUAACAGGCUGAUGAUGCCCAAGAGUCCAUAUCGACGGCAUCGUUUGGCACCUCGAUGUCGGCUCAUCUCAUCCUGGGGCUGGAGCAGGUCCCAAGGGUAUGGCUGUUCGCCAUUUAAAGAGGUACGUGAGCUGGGUUUAGAACGUCGUGAGACAGUUCGGUCCCUAUCUGCCGUGGGUGUAGGAGACUUGAGAAGAGUUGCCCCUAGUACGAGAGGACCGGGGUGAACGAACCACUGGUGGACCAGUUAUCGUGCCAACGGUAGUGCUGGGUAGCUAUGUUCGGACAGGAUAACCGCUGAAGGCAUCUAAGCGGGAAGCCCCCUUCAAAACAAGGUCUCCCUUGAGGGCCGUGGAAGACCACCACGUCGAUAGGCCGGAGGUGUAAGUGCAGCAAUGCAUUCAGCUGACCGGUACUAAUUGCAAAA
rnacentral:rRNA from 1 species